UGUUGGACGCAACAUGGGAGUGACUGAAUAAACUUACUGGCAACUGCUGGUUAAGGUGAUGAGACACAGGUGGUGCUGCUGAUGCGAGUCAGAACCGAUCAACCAAUCGGGUCUCAGGCAAACAGGUAUUUACAACUGUAGUAAUGCCCCUGUUUUGUUGGUACACAGGAAUCCAACCUCCCUCUUA
rnacentral:ncRNA from 1 species